UUUGGGGAGCCCCGAAGUGGAAGAAUUGUUUUUCUUUUAUACUUUUCUUUUCCUGAAACACGGGAGAAAGUCCCGAAGUGUUGGAAGGAGACGGCGGAGCUGAGAGCAUCGGGCUGAGAGCGAGUAUGCCAAGGCAGUAGGGAUGGUGCCAACCGGACCCACGUGGUGCCAACCGGACCCAUCCUCAGGAGCUGUCCCUGGUCCUCCGGUUGCACUGCUGGAGGUGGUGACCUUACAUGGGAUACCCCCAUAAUGCUUCCAACAUCCUGCGACUGCAGCGUUAAUUCCAAAGGGGAGCCAAAUGCAGGUGUUGCUGAUGAAUGUCUUUUAGAUGAGUCUGGAUGGUGCUGCGUGCAAAGCCACGAAGACAUCGCCGUUUUGAGGAUGUGGGUUUCUUUGUUCUUCAUCAUGACAAACAGAGCUUUCUUCCUUACUGUCACUGUUCGGCGUCGUAAGCUAAAUCCUCUUUCAUCUUCUGCAACAAGGAUGCUGCGGUGGUGCUCUGGGAGAGGCAGCGAUUCAUUCUGCUCCAGGAUUUAGCUCUGCCCCUCAGUUGAGCCAGAGAUGCUGCGGAGAGGUUGCCAGGGAUGCAGACGCAAUCCUACCUCCAGGUUUUUGCUGCAUCCCCGCUGCUGAGCGAGAUAUGGAUCAUACCCAGGAUUAUCGCCCAUCCGAGUGGAAGGAAGGGAUGCUGAGAUGUCGGGUUGCAGGGGAGAUGGAUCUGGGCGCCGGGUUUUUGUGCCGUCUCGGUGCCGUGGGGUGGGAGUGGGGUCUGGAGACCCCCCCAGUGAUGCGGGGGUGCGGGAUUUUUCAGUUCUGGUGCCGAUGCUGUGCUCAUGGUGAGGUCUCUGUGGCGCAAUGGACGAGCGCGCUGGACUUCUAAUCCAGAGGUUCCGGGUUCGAGUCCCGGCAGAGAUGAUCUCCAGGCAGGUGUCUCUUUUAUUUUAUGUGUAUUCCUCCAUAAAUCCCAAUCCGACGCCUUUAUAGCACCCCAGAAGGUUUGAGGUGGGAGAUGAUGACUUUUCACGGCAUCGUCUCCGCUGCUGAUGCUCACAGUGGUUGUGUGCUCCCCAUCCAAGGUGUGUUUCUUCCAUCACAUUCCCCUUCCCUCCUUCCUUUUGGUAGCUCCUGGAUGCUUUGAUCUUUUAACCCUAUUUGUUCCCCCAGUACUGCUUGUUGGACGUCUCUGAAUGCUUUAAGAAAACUGCUGUGUUUCCAGUAGAAAUCGGGUGGUCAGGCAGUGGUUU
rnacentral:lncRNA from 7 species